rnacentral:rRNA from 1 species
UACGGGGGAUGCGAGCGUUAUCCGGAUUUAUUGGGUUUAAAGGGUGCGUAGGCGGCGCUUCAGGUCAGCGGUGAAAUACCGGGGCUCAACAUCGGGGCUGCCGCUAAUACUGUAGGACUAGAGAUCGGAUGCAGCAGGCGGAAUGUGUAGUGUAGCGGUGAAAUGCAUAGAUAUUACACAGAACACCGAUUGCGAAGGCAGCUUGCUAGGCCGGAUCUGACACUGAUGCACGAAAGCGUGGGGAUCGAACAGG